CUGCUGUGAUGAGACUCAAAUCUUGUUGAAAGUCUUGGUACUUGAUGAAACCAUCAACAGUGAUGUUGAUGCGGUUACCUGAGCAG